GCUGCCCUGACAAGGGGAACAAGCCUGCACAUGCGCACUUCCUAUUCCUGCCCCCAUGUUGCGCCUUCCUGCCCUGAAGGAUUCCAAGCACCCCUCCAGCCAUAAGUUAAUCAGUUUAUUGAGCACCUACUAUAGCAAGCACUGUUAUCUAAAGGCUCCUUCAAGAACCUGGCAGCACUGAGAAGACCGUUCAUCAUCCUGAAGCAUCAAGGCAGCACCUACUUGGCACUAGAAGCACCCGGUCUUUGGAAAGGAGCACGUGAGCAAGAGGCCUCGGAACCACAGCGGAAUGGCACCGCAUGGUACUAAGAGGUCAUGCUGAUACUGGCAUUUCACGGGAAAUUAUGCUAUCUUCCUGUUUCUGACAAUCAGAAAGAUCACUGGAGAGGCAGCACAUUUUCUGUCUGUUUUCACUGGAGAAGUGAAAACAAUAGCAAGCGCAUAUUUUGAAGUGAAGCUGUAUUUCACAGACAAAUUGAAGGGAAAAGUGGUUAUGGAAACUUUUCACUCUUUUUGCCUUCCUUGAUUUCUUAUAAUUCAUAAAUAAAAAGAAAGAAAA
rnacentral:sRNA from 1 species